GCUCUUUUGGGUCUUAUAAUUGGAAUGAGUACAAUUUAAAUCCCUUAACGAGGAACAAGUGACAAGAAAUAACAAUACAGGAUUGGAGGGCAAGUCUGGUGCCAGCAGCCGCGGUAAUUCCAGCUCCAAUAGCGUAUAUUAAAGUUGCAGUUAAAAGCUCGUAGUUGAACUUCAGACCUGGCUGGGCGGUCCGCCUAACGGCGAGUACUGUCUGGCUGGGCCUUACCUCUUGGUGAGCCGGCGUGCCCUUUAUUGGUGUGCGUCGGGGAACCAGGACUUUUACCUUGAGAAAAUUAGAGUGCUUAAAGCAGG
rnacentral:rRNA from 1 species